UACAGAGGUCUCAAGCGUUGUUCGGAUUCAUUGGGCGUAAAGGGUGUGUAGGUGGCGCCGUAAGUCGGGUGUGAAAUUUCGGAGCUUAACUCCGAAACUGCAUUCGAUACUGCGGUGCUUGAGGACUGGAGAGGAGACUGGAAUUCAUGGUGUAGCAGUGAAAUGCGCAGAUAUCAGGAGGAACACCGGUGGCGAAGGCGGGACUCUGGGCCGAUACUGACGCUGAGGAGCGAAAGCGUGGGGAGCGAACAGG
rnacentral:rRNA from 1 species